rnacentral:rRNA from 1 species
GACGAACGCUGGCGGCGUGCUUAACACAUGCAAGUCGAGCGGUAAGGCUCCUUCGGGAGUACACGAGCGGCGAACGGGUGAGUAACACGUGAGCAAUCUGCCCUUCACUUUGGGAUAACUCCGGGAAACCGGUGCUAAUACCGAAUGCGACCACUUCAGGCAUCUGACGGUGGUGGAAAGUUCCGGCGGUGAAGGAUGAGCUCGCGGCCUAUCAGCUUGUUGGUGAGGUAAUGGCUCACCAAGGCUUCGACGGGUAGCCGGCCUGAGAGGGUGACCGGCCACACUGGGACUGAGACACGGCCCAGACUCCUACGGGAGGCAGCAGUGGGGAAUAUUGGACAAUGGGCGAAAGCCUGAUCCAGCAACGCCGCGUGAGGGAUGACGGCC